GACGAACGCUGGCGGCGUGCUUAACACAUGCAAGUCGAACGGAAAGGCCCUGCUUUUGUGGGGUGCUCGAGUGGCGAACGGGUGAGUAACACGUGAGUAACCUGCCCUUGACUUUGGGAUAACUUCAGGAAACUGGGGCUAAUACCGGAUAGGAGCUCCUGCUGCAUGGUGGGGGUUGGAAAGUUUCGGCGGUUGGGGAUGGACUCGCGGCUUAUCAGCUUGUUGGUGGGGUAGUGGCUUACCAAGGCUUUGACGGGUAGCCGGCCUGAGAGGGUGACCGGCCACAUUGGGACUGAGAUACGGCCCAGACUCCUACGGGAGGCAGCAGUGGGGAAUAUUGCACAAUGGGCGGAAGCCUGAUGCAGCAACGCCGCGUGCGGGAUGACGGCCUUCGGGUUGUAAACCGCUUUCGCCUGUGACGAAGCGUGAGUGACGGUAAUGGGUAAAGAAGCACCGGCUAACUACGUGCCAGCAGCCGCGGUGAUACGUAGGGUGCGAGCGUUGUCCGGAUUUAUUGGGCGUAAAGGGCUCGUAGGUGGUUGAUCGCGUCGGAAGUGUAAUCUUGGGGCUUAACCCUGAGCGUGCUUUCGAUACGGGUUGACUUGAGGAAGGUAGGGGAGAAUGGAAUUCCUGGUGGAGCGGUGGAAUGCGCAGAUAUCAGGAGGAACACCAGUGGCGAAGGCGGUUCUCUGGGCCUUUCCUGACGCUGAGGAGCGAAAGCGUGGGGAGCGAACAGGCUUAGAUACCCUGGUAGUCCACGCUGUAAACGGUGGGUACUAGGUGUGGGGUCCAUUCCACGGGUUCCGUGCCGUAGCUAACGCUUUAAGUACCCCGCCUGGGGAGUACGGCCGUAAGGCUAAAACUCAAAGGAAUUGACGGGGCCCCGCACAAGCGGCGGAGCAUGCGGAUUAAUUCGAUGCAACGCGUAGAACCUUACCUGGGUUUGACAUGGAUCGGGAGCGCUCAGAGAUGGGUGUGCCUCUUUUGGGGUCGGUUCACAGGUGGUGCAUGGCUGUCGUCAGCUCGUGUCGUGAGAUGUUGGGUUAAGUCCCGCAACGAGCGCAACCCUUGUUCACUGUUGCCAGCACGUUAUGGUGGGGACUCAGUGGAGACCGCCGGGGUCAACUCGGAGGAAGGUGGGGAUGACGUCAAGUCAUCAUGCCCCUUAUGUCCAGGGCUUCACGCAUGCUACAAUGGCUGGUACAGAGAGUGGCGAGCCUGUGAGGGUGAGCGAAUCUCGGAAAGCCGGUCUCAGUUCGGAUUGGGGUCUGCAACUCGACCUCAUGAAGUCGGAGUCGCUAGUAAUCGCAGAUCAGCAACGCUGCGGUGAAUACGUUCCCGGG
rnacentral:rRNA from 1 species